rnacentral:rRNA from 1 species
ACCUGCGGAGGGAUCAUUGUUGGAACGCGCUCCGGCGCACCUCCAGACAACCCUUUGUGAACUUAUACCUAUACUGUUGCCUCGGCGUCAGGCUGGCUCCCCUCGGGGGGUCCCUCACCAUCUCGGUGAGGAGCAGGCCCGCCGGCGGCCAAGUUAACUCUUGUUUUUACACUGAAACUCUGAGAAUAAAACAAAAAUGAAUCAAAACUUUCAACAACGGAUCUCUUGGUUCUGGCAUCGAUGAAGAACGCAGCGAAAUGCGAUAAGUAAUGUGAAUUGCAGAAUUCAGUGAAUCAUCGAAUCUUUGAACGCACAUUGCGCCCUCUGGUAUUCCGGAGGGCAUGCCUGUUCGAGCGUCAUUUCAACCCUCAAGCCUGGCUUGGUGAUGGGACACUGCCUUUGAGAAAAGGCAGGUCCUGAAAUUCAGUGGCGAGCUCGCCAGGACCCCGAGCGCAGUAGUUAAACCCUCGCUUUGGAAGGUCUUGGUGCGGCCCUGCCGUUAAACCCCCAACUUCUGAAAAUUUGACCUCGGAUCAGGUA